rnacentral:lncRNA from 1 species
CUUUAAGUGUACAAGAGAACUUUGACUUUCCUGAGUACACAAGGGAAAAAUUACAUAUUGUGAUGUCAUUGCCUUGCGGAUUUCUCAUACCACCAAGUACAUUAGUCACGCUGUCAAUGUCAAGGAGAUACAAAAGAAAAAAGAAAAAAAACAUAGUAUCUUCAUAUGAGAAUUGAAUUCCUUCCAAUAUAAUGAAGGACCUAUCUAGUUGAACGUCUUCAAGAUCGAGUAGAGGAGGAGCUUUUCUACCUAAACCCAGAACAAAUCAUCCAGAAUCAGACCGGAAAGCGAGGAACCAAUUGCUGAGACGCAAUGUAGAGGAAAUGGAAAAUAUUUAUUAGAUCAAGGAGAAUUCGACUCGACUACAGUUGAAUCCAAUAUCCGAAUGUUCAGUUGGCUCAAUUCCCUGGAGGCUGUUUAAUGGAAUGUAAAGAGAGAGACUGACACACAUCUGUUCAAAUCUCUUGAUAGGAUGGUGUAAACAAGCCAAAGCAAGCAGGAUCAUUCGAAUGCCAUUCAAAUUAGCCAGUUACUGUGGAUGCACAAGUAGGAUGGAGGAUAAGCUUCAGAGCAAUUGGACCUUUUCACAAUUGCCCAAUAUUGACUUAGAUUGGGUUUUUUCAAUUUUGCGUUAUUGACAUUUGGAGCCAGACAAUUCUUCGUUGUUGGGGGAGGAGGGCUGUCCUGUGAAUUGCAGGAUGUUUAGCAGCAUCCCUGACCUUUACCCACUAGAUGACAGUAGUACCCCCACCCUAGUUGUGAUAACCAGAAAAUAUCUCCAGACAUUGUCAUAUGUCCUUGGGAGAAGGGGAACAAAAUUGGCCCUGGUUGAGAACUGCUGAGUUAGACAAAUCUGUGUCUGGAGUUUUCAAGAUCUGAGUGGCCGGGAACUGGACUUUUGCUUAAAUGACAGUGUUCCAAGCUGUAGCAGUGGUGGCCUGAAUGCUUGACUGUUGGGAAAAGAGAGAAGGGCUGUGAGCUAUAUAGGAAGGGACCAUUCAGAAAACGAGCAAGAAAACAACCCACAGACUGUUUCACUUACUCUUUUGUGGCCCCCAUGAAAAUGAAUGGUUUGCCCUGGAGUAGAGACAUUCUGGUGAUAAUAAGCCUGUCAGUUUAAUUAUUACACACCACAACUCUAUAGAGCAAGAAGCAUAUUGAUACAGGUAUAGGUAGACAAAAAUAGUUCCCAAUGCACUUUUCCAGG